rfam:Myotis brandtii contig162824, whole genome shotgun sequence.
GGUGGUUCUCGGGUGACGCACCCUAGAAUCGGGCUUCUUCCUCUCUGGUUCCGGGUGUGUCACCCGAAAACCGCA